UACGUAGGGUGCGAGCGUUGUCCGGAAUUACUGGGCGUAAAGAGCUCGUAGGUGGUUUGUCGCGUUGUUCGUGAAAACUCACAACUCAAUUGUGGGCGUGCGGGCGAUACGGGCAGACUGGAGUACUGCAGGGGAGACUGGAAUUCCUGGUGUAGCGGUGGAAUGCGCAGAUAUCAGGAGGAACACCGGUGGCGAAGGCGGGUCUCUGGACAGUUCCUGACGCUGAGGCACGAAGGUCAGGGGAGCAAACGGG
rnacentral:rRNA from 1 species